rnacentral:rRNA from 1 species
UACGUAGGGUGCAAGCGUUGUCCGGAAUUAUUGGGCGUAAAGAGCUCGUAGGCGGUUUGUCGCGUCUGCUGUGAAAACUCGGGGCUUAACUCCGGGCCUGCAGUGGGUACGGGCAGACUAGAGUGCGGUAGGGGAGACUGGAAUUCCUGGUGUAGCGGUGAAAUGCGCAGAUAUCAGGAGGAACACCGGUGGCGAACGCGGGUCUCUGGGCCGUAACUGACGCUGAGGAGCGAAAGCGUGGGGAGCGAACAGG